AUCCAGCUGACGAGUCCCAAACAGGACGAAGUGGUGAGCGUCCUGGAU
rnacentral:hammerhead_ribozyme from 1 species